GAUGAACGCUGGCGGCGUGCCUAAUACAUGCAAGUCGAGCGAACAGACGAGGAGCUUGCUCCUCUGACGUUAGCGGCGGACGGGUGAGUAACACGUGGAUAACCUACCUAUAAGUCUGGGAUAACUUCGGGAAACCGGAGCUAAUACCGGAUAAUAUAUUGAACCGCAUGGUUCAAUAGUGAAAGACGGUUUUGCUGUCACUUAUAGAUGGAUCCGCGCCGCAUUAGCUAGUUGGUAAGGUAACGGCUUACCAAGGCAACGAUGCGUAGCCGACCUGAGAGGGUGAUCGGCCACACUGGAACUGAGACACGGUCCAGACUCCUACGGGAGGCAGCAGUAGGGAAUCUUCCGCAAUGGGCGAAAGCUUGACGGAGCAACGCCGCGUGAGUGAUGAAGGUCUUCGGGUCGUAAAACUCUGUUAUUAGGGAAGAACAAAUGUGUAAGUAACUAUGCACGUCUUGACGGUACCUAAUCAGAAAGCCACGGCUAACUACGUG
rnacentral:rRNA from 1 species